UGUUAAAAAUUCCAUUCAUUUUUACUAUUAAAAAUUGAUGUUGCUGACGAAAUAACCAUACAGUUACACAUGUUAUCCUACGUAUAGCUCAUGCUGAUGUAUAUGGACCAACUUUAAAAAAAAAUGAGUGAAAUUUUGAACG
rnacentral:pre_miRNA from 1 species